rnacentral:rRNA from 1 species
AGAGUUGAUCCUGGCUCAGGACGAACGCUGGCGGCGCGCCUAACACAUGCAAGUCGAACGAGCGAGAGAGAGCUUGCUUUCACGAGCGAGUGGCGAACGGGUGAGUAACGCGUGAGGAACCUGCCUCAAAGAGGGGGACAACAGUUGGAAACGACUGCUAAUACCGCAUAAGCCCACAGCUCGGCAUCGAGCAGAGGGAAAAGGAGCAAUCCGCUUUGAGAUGGCCUCGCGUCCGAUUAGCUAGUUGGUGAGGUAACGGCCCACCAAGGCGACGAUCGGUAGCCGGACUGAGAGGUUGAACGGCCACAUUGGGACUGAGACACGGCCCAGACUCCUACGGGAGGCAGCAGUGGGGAAUAUUGCACAAUGGGGGAAACCCUGAUGCAGCGACGCCGCGUGGAGGAAGAAGGUCUUCGGAUUGUAAACUCCUGUUGUUGAGGAAGAUAAUGACGGUACUCAACAAGGAAGUGACGGCUAACUACGUGCCAGCAGCCGCGGUAAAACGUAGGUCACAAGCGUUGUCCGGAAUUACUGGGUGUAAAGGGAGCGCAGGCGGGAAGACAAGUUGGAAGUGAAAUCUAUGGGCUCAACCCAUAAACUGCUUUCAAAACUGUUUUUCUUGAGUAGUGCAGAGGUAGGCGGAAUUCCCGGUGUAGCGGUGGAAUGCGUACAUAUCGGGAGGAACACAGUGGCGAAGGCGGCCUACUGGGCACCAACUGACGCUGAGGCUCGAAAGUGUGGGUAGCAAACAGGAUUAGAUACCCUGGUAGUCCACACCGUAAACGAUGAUUACUAGGUGUUGGAGGAUUGACCCCUUCAGGGCCGCAGUUAACACAAUAAGUAAUCCACCUGGGGAGUACGACCGCAAGGUUGAAACUCAAAGGAAUUGACGGGGGCCCGCACAAGCAGUGGAGUAUGUGGUUUAAUUCGACGCAACGCGAAGAACCUUACCAAGUCUUGACAUCCUGCGACGGACAUAGAAAUAUGUCUUUCCUUCGGGACGCAGAGACAGGUGGUGCAUGGUUGUCGUCAGCUCGUGUCGUGAGAUGUUGGGUUAAGUCCCGCAACGAGCGCAACCCUUACUGUCAGUUACUACGCAAGAGGACUCUGGCAGGACUGCCGUUGACAAAACGGAGGAAGGUGGGGAUGACGUCAAAUCAUCAUGCCCUUUAUGACUUGGGCUACACACGUACUACAAUGGCGUUAAACAAAGAGAAGCAAGACCGCGAGGUGGAGCAAAACUCAGAAACAACGUCCCAGUUCGGACUGCAGGCUGCAACUCGCCUGCACGAAGUCGGAAUUGCUAGUAAUCGUGGAUCAGCAUGCCACGGUGAAUACGUUCGCCGGGCACUUGUACACACCGCCCGUC